rnacentral:rRNA from 1 species
AGAGGGUGCGAGCGUUAUUCGAAAUUAUUGGGCGUAAAGCGCGAGUAGGUGGUGAGGUAAGUUCUGUGUGAAAUCCUCGGGCUCAACCCGAGAACUGCAUGGAAAACUACCUUGCUAGAGUACAAGAGGGGAGAGCGGAAUUCCCAGUGUAGAGGUGAAAUUCGUAGAUAUUGGGAGGAACACCGGCGGCGAAAGCGGCUCUCUGGCUUGUCACUGACACUCAGUCGCGAAAGGGUGGGGAGCAAACAGGAUUAGAUACCCUGGUAGUCCACCCCGUAAACGAUGUGAACUAGUUGUUGGAGGAUUUUGACCCCUUCAGUGACGCAGCUAACGCAUUAAGUUCACCGCCUGGGGAGUACGGCCGCAAGGCUA